UGUGAAGUUUGACGUCCAUCUUCUUUGAUUUCUUCGUUAUGUGACGAACUUCCCUUCUCAGGUUCUGGAUCAUAGACUUCAAAGGAAUCCCCUACGGUAGGGGAAGAGCUCCAGCAGGGCACUGUCGUCGAGAAACAAGAGCGUCACAAAGCAAGUCAUUGCAAAGAAAAAAAAAGAAGAAAAAGAAAGUAGAAGAAGAAAAAGGAGCUCUCUGUAAAGAG
rnacentral:lncRNA from 1 species